rnacentral:rRNA from 1 species
UGGGGAAUCUUCCGCAAUGGACGAAAGUCUGACGGAGCAACGCCGCGUGAGUGAUGACGGUCUUCGGAUUGUAAAGCUCUGUUAAUCGGGACGAAUGGUUUGUGUGCAAAUAGUGCAUAGACAUGACGGUACCGGAAUAGAAAGCCACGGCUAACUACGUGCCAGCAGCCGCGGUAAUACGUAGGUGGCAAGCGUUGUCCGGCAUUAUUGGGCGUAAAGCGCGCGCAGGCGGACUAGCCAGUCAGUCUUAAAAGUUCGGGGCUUAACCCCGUGAUGGGAUGGAAACUACUAGGCUAGAGUAUCGGAGAGGAAAGUGGAAGUCCUAGUGUAGCUGUGAAAUGCGUAGAUAUUAGGAAGAACACCAGUUGCGAAGGCGACUUUCUGGACGAACACUGACGCUGAGGCGCGAAAGCAAGGAGAGCGAACAGG